rnacentral:rRNA from 1 species
UACGAAGGGGGCGAGCGUUGUUCGGAAUUACUGGGCGUAAAGCGCACGUAGGCGGCUUUGUAAGUUAGAGGUGAAAGCCCGGGGCUCAACUCCGGAACUGCCUUUAAGACUGCAUCGCUUGAAUCCAGGAGAGGUGAGUGGAAUUCCGAGUGUAGAGGUGAAAUUCGUAGAUAUUCGGAAGAACACCAGUGGCGAAGGCGGCUCACUGGACUGGUAUUGACGCUGAGGUGCGAAAGCGUGGGGAGCAAACAGG